rnacentral:lncRNA from 1 species
AUGGCUUGGUGGAGGCCUUUCACAGGACCAAGAGCUAAGUCGGCCAAUGCCGUUCUCUUGAUGUCUUCUUUUUGUGUAUCAGGGAAAGAUCAAGUUAUCUUAGAAAAAGAAACAGAGGCUCAGUCAAAAGAUGCAGAACAUCAAGCUGAAGGGAGGCAGGAACGAGUGAAUGAAGCUGGAGCAGAUGGAAUAAUUCAAGCAGAAACUCUCUCAAACACGACUGACAUUAUUGAGAAAAGUGAGAAACAAGCUGAUGCUGGUAGAGGUCUAGGUCAAAACCCUCACUGUGUUUCUGUCAUUACUGAGACUGUACCUUAUCUAAGCAUUGGUACAAACCCUGACGAUCCCAACAAUCAGUCCACAAACGGUCCAGGUCCAAGAUCACUGAGGGGAAAAGUAAUGGGGAGGAUCUCCACCUGGCCUCCGACUGCAGUUCAGUGGCAGACAAGAUGUAAAAUGAAGGAGAAGGACGAGAACAGCUGCGAUGUCUUCACUGUUUGGACACAAGAAGAAAUGUUCAGGUUCUCGAGUGAAGUAAAAAAGAUGGUAAACAAAGCAGAGCAUCCCUCUGGUUCUGAUGGGGUCCAACAGGAAGAUGAAGCUGAGACAAAUCAAGAUUUACAAACAGCUCUAAGAAUACACCCCCCUGGGAUAAAUGAAGAUCAAAUGAUAGUGAGACACUCAGAGUCCUCAGAACCAAAUGAUAAGACCGCUUCUCUCAGUGAGGCUCAAACCCACACUGACCAGAUGCUGGAGGAGCAGCUAAAAGCAGAAGAGCAGGACCUGGCCACUGGGAGACAGAUGAAGAGCAAAGGCCAAAAUCAGCGUAAGGAAGAAGUUGAAGGUCUAAGCUGCAAACCUGCACACAAACCUGCACACAAGCCCACGAGGGAGAGCAGCAACAAGGCAGAGCAGAGACGUGAACUAAAGGGAGCUGCAACAAGCAGACACAGGGGAGAAAACAGAAGCACUGGCUCAAAGGCUCCCUCUGGUGGUGUCUCACCAGAUGAUGAAACUCUGCUAUCUGGCAAUGAAUACGCCUUCAUGGACCUGCUGCACGAAGUCGUGCAGAACAACGGCCGCUGGACCAGAGAGAGGUGGAAGCAGAUGCAUAUGAACCAGCAGAGGCGUUAA